rnacentral:rRNA from 1 species
UGGGCAAUCUGCCCUGCACUUCGGAACAACCCGGGGAAACCCGGGCUAAUACCGGAUACGAUCCGGGCCCGCAUGGGCCCGGAUGGAAAGCUCCGGCGGUGCAGGAUGAGCCCGCGGCCUAUCAGCUCGUUGGUGGGGUCACGGCCCACCAAGGCGACGACGGGUAGCCGGCCUGAGAGGGCGACCGGCCACACUGGGACUGAGACACGGCCCAGACUCCGUACGGGAGGCAG